UAAGGAAUAUUGGUCAAUGGGCGAGAGCCUGAACCAGCCAUGCCGCGUGCAGGAAGACGGCCUUAUGGGUUGUAAACUGCUUUUAUCGGGGAAUAAACCUUUCUACGUGUAGGAAGCUGAAGGUACCCGAAGAAUAAGCAUCGGCUAACUCCGUGCCAGCAGCCGCGGUAAUACGGAGGAUGCAAGCGUUAUCCGGAUUCAUUGGGUUUAAAGGGUGCGCAGGCGGAUUGGUAAGUCAGUGGUGAAAUUCAACGGCUCAACUGUUGAUCUGCCAUUGAUACUGUCAGUCUAGAGUAUAGUUGGAGUGGGCGGAAUGUGUCAUGUAGCGGUGAAAUGCUUAGAUAUGACACAGAACACCGAUCGCGAAGGCAGCUCACUAAGCUAAAACUGACGCUCAUGCACGAAAGCGUGGGGAUCAAACA
rnacentral:rRNA from 1 species